AUUUUUGCCGAAUUCCUUUUUAUUAAUUUAAAUUUAUUAAAUUUAUUUUAUAAAAAUAUACUAAUUUUAUCAUUAUUUCCAAUUUUUUUUUAUUAAAAAAUAUUUUUUUAUAAAAAUUUAAAAUAAAUUAAAUUUUAAUUAAAAAAAAAUUAUUUAUAAUAAAUUAUAAUUUAUAAAAAAUAUAAAUUUUAAAAAUUUUUAUUUAAAAUUAAAUAUUUAUAAAAAUUUAAUUUAAUGCUUAUCCCUUAAAAUAUUAAAUUAAUUUUUAAUUUUUAUUUAUUAUUUAAUAAAAAUUAAAAAUUAAUUUUAAAUUAAAUUUAUUUCUAAAAAAACUAGAUAUUUUUAAAAACGAUUAACAUUUCAUUUCAAAUUAACUAUUAAAAAUAAUUAUUCAACAUUAACUUUAUUAGUUAAUUAUCUCUUUUAAAUUCGAGAUAAUUUACAUAACUAUUUUUUAAUAAACUCUGAUACACAAGAUACAAUAAAUUAAAUUUACUUUUACUUUAUUUUUUAUUUCAUAAUAUUUAAAAAUUCUUUUACAAUACUAUUUUACUAUAAAAAAAUUAAUUUUUUCUUAAAAAAUACUUUAACCCCCUUAUUAUAUUUUUUAACUUUUUUUUUUAUUUAAUCUAAUUAUUAAUUUUACCCCC
rnacentral:rRNA from 1 species